rnacentral:tRNA from 1 species
AAUGAGAUGCCUGAUUAAAGGAUUAUCUUGAUAGGAUAAAUAAUGUAUGUAUCCCAUACUCUCAUUA